CCUACGGGUAGCAGCAGUGGGGAAUAUUGCACAAUGGGGGAAACCCUGAUGCAGCGACGCCGCGUGAGUGAAGAAGUUUUUCGGUAUGUAAAGCUCUAUCAGCAGGGAAGAUAAUGACGGUAGCUGACUAAGAAUCCCCGGCUAACUACGUGGCAGCAGCCGCGGUAAUACGUAGGGGGCAAGCGUUAUCCGGAGUUACUGGGGGUAAAGGGUGCGUAGGUGGUAGGGCAAGUCAGCUGUGAAAGCCCGGGGCUCAACCCCGGUGCUGCAUUUUAAACUGUCCAGCUGGAGUGCAGGAGAGGUAAGCGGAAUUCCUAGUGUAGCGGUGGAAUGCGUAGAUAUUAGGAGGAACACCAGUGGCGAAGGCGGCUUACUGGACUGUAACUGACACUGAGGCACGAAAGCGUGGGGAGCAAACAGGAUUAGAUACCCGUGUAGUC
rnacentral:rRNA from 1 species